AAUGGACGAAAGUCUGACGCAGCAACGCCGCGUGAUCGAUGAAGCUUCUAGGAGUGUAAAGAUCUGUCGUAAGGGAAGAAAACCUGGAUGUAAAUAAUGUUCAGAUUUGACGGUACCUUUCAAGAAAGCACCGGCUAACUUCGUGCCAGCAGCCGCGGUAAUACGAGGGGUGCUAGCGUUGUCCGGAAUAACUGGGCGUAAAGGGUCCGUAGGCGUUUUAUUAAGUUGAUUGUUAAAUCCACCGGCUUAACCGGUGACCUGCAAUCAAAACUGAUAAAAUAGAAUAUGUGAGAGGAAUGUGGAAUUCCUGGUGUAGCGGUGACAUGCGUAGAUACCAGGAGGAACACCGAUGGCGAAGGCAGCAUUCUGGCACAAUAUUGACGCUGAGGGACGAAAGCGUGGGGAGCGAACAGGAUU
rnacentral:rRNA from 1 species